CUUGGUCAGGACGAACGCUGGCGGCGUGCUUAACACAUGCAAGUCGAACGAGGUGAUUGAAAGCUUGCUUUGAGAACCGAGUGGCAAACGGGUGAGUAACGCGUAGACAACCUGCCGCAAAGAUGGGGACAACAGUCCGAAAGGACUGCUAAUACCGAAUGUUGUCGAGUUUCCGCAUGGGAGCUUGAUUAAAGAUGGCCUCUACUUGUAAGCUAUCGCUUUGCGAUGGGUCUGCGUCUGAUUAGCUGGUUGGUGGGGUAACGGCCUACCAAGGCGACGAUCAGUAGCCGGUCUGAGAGGAUGAACGGCCACAUUGGAACUGAGACACGGUCCAGACUCCUACGGGAGGCAGCAGUGGGGAAUCUUCCGCAAUGGGCGAAAGCCUGACGGAGCAACGCCGCGUGAAGUGAAGAAGGGUUUCGGCUCGUAAAGCUCUGUUGACGGGGACGAAUGUGCGAAAUGCGAAUAGUUUUUCGCAAUGACGGUACCCGUCGAGGAAGCCACGGCUAACUACGUGCCAGCCGCCGC
rnacentral:rRNA from 1 species